rnacentral:lncRNA from 1 species
AGAAGGCAGCUUUCAUAAUUAUAGGUCUUAUACCUGUGGAGUCACCAGAUUAGUGAAGGUUGUUGUGAAGAACAUUUGGUUUUUCCUGCUCAGGGUCCGUUCUCCAGUAUGGUGGUAAUACUCAUCCACUCUGCAAUACGCAUUUUUCAUUGUGCAUACUUUUGGGGUGACUGUCAAGUCAUUUGAGUAGAGAAGGCAGAAGAAGGCAGCUUUCAUAAUUAUAGGUCUUAUACCUGUGGAGUCACCAGAUUAGUGAAGGUUGUUGUGAAGAACAUUUGGUUUUUCCUGCUCAGGGUCCGUUCUCCAGUAUGGUGGUAAUACUCAUCCACUCUGCAAUACGCAUUUUUCAUUGUGCAUACUUUUGGGGUGACUGUCAAGGUGUUGUAUUUCCAUGGGCUUUCUCUCUGGAAUUCCAAUAUUGAACAUGGCGACCACUGUGGCGGAUUUUCCCCCAGCAGAUGUACCCUGGAGUGCUGUGCAUUAAUUCUGCUACCUACUUCCCAUUCUUUCUGCAUGGUGUUCUCCAAUUUUCCCUUUACUUUUCUAAUCUAGCUUGUGUUCUUCCAAUAGAUUUCUAUUUUUUUGCUGAACUUCUUUAGAACUGUCUUUGAUUAAGAAAUGUAACUUGUGUUUGGUUCUUAAAUUAGACCUAGUUAAAAAGCAAAGACAAAUCAUAAACCCUUCAUGUAAAAGAAUAAUCAUGUGUUUCUAAUUUUUUACAAAUCACAGAUGAAGAAAAUGUCAGAGAUUUGCCUCAACUCAGUGAAUCUCUCUCUUUCCCCAGAUGGAGAAUUUUGGUGGGUCAAGAGCCCCAAACUCACAAAAAAAAUAACUGGAUCUAAAACAUGAGAGCAUAUUGAGCACCUACUCUUCAUGAGCACCUACUCUUUACUCAAGAUUCAACCUGCCGCCUGGAGUGGACCAGCUGCCAUCUUGAAUCAUGAAGCUGGGACCUUGGACAGCAGAGCAAGAAGACAGAAGAGACCUGGAUCUCUGGUUAUGGAGAACCAGACAGUCCUGGAUCUUAUACGUGGAUACAUAUAUACAUUAACUUUUGUACUUUUAAAGACACUGUGAUUUAGGUUUUUUUCCUGGUAUUUAUAAACUGAAUCUAAGCAUGCAGAGGAGAAUCUAAGAUGCAGAGGAGAAGGUUGUCUUUUCCCCAAGUUUGUUUAGAAAAAUUGAGGACUGUUAAGAAGCUAUAGGUUAGUCUAAUAUAACUCUUGUGGACUUUGGGCAAAUCAUUAGAUCAAUGAAAUAACCAGCAAGCGUAGAAAGAGUCAGCCAGAACUUACUUCUAGCCCAGAAGCUUGCAAUCUGGACUGCCACACUAUACUCAAACAGCUCCUUUCU